rnacentral:misc_RNA from 1 species
AAGUCGUAACAAGCUUUCCGUAGGUGAACCUGCGGAAGCAUCCAAACGUUAAAACAACCCUGUGAAUAUUGAAUCUCAGUUCCCCCAGGGCAGAAAAAUGGGCUUCCUCUAGUAAAUCAUUGUCUUAAUAAGGUUUUGAGUUGGAGGAUGGCGCACGAGUAGCACCUGUAUUGGGUCGUUUACAACUAUCCACUUCUGGUGCCCCCAAGCAACCAUCAAUCUGAAAGUGUUUGGUGGAUUGUGCAAGGGCAGCGCAGUCAACGAUCGGUGGUCCACACGGCCAUCGACCGGGGUCGUUACUCCCUCGUGGGGCCUAGUUCAUUCAGGUUGAACAUGAUGUGUCUACCGCACCCGACGAAAGUCCGACGCAACCCUAACCGAACAAUGGAUAUCUUGGUUCUC